rnacentral:sRNA from 1 species
GAAUGUGACCAUCUCCUGUCCAGCUGGA